GAUGAACGCUAGCGACAGGCCUAACACAUGCAAGUCGAGGGGCAGCAUAAAGGUAGCAAUACUUUGGUGGCGACCGGCGCACGGGUGAGUAACACGUAUGCAACCUACCUGUAAGAGGGGAAUAACCCGGAGAAAUUCGGACUAAUACCGCAUAAUACCACGAAGCUGCAUGGCUUUGUGUUUAAACAUUUAUGGCUUACAGAUGGGCAUGCGUAUGAUUAGAUAGUUGGUAGGGUAACGGCCUACCAAGUCAACGAUCAUUAGGGGUUCUGAGAGGAAGGACCCCCACACAGGUACUGAGACACGGACCAGACUCCUACGGGAGGCAGCAGUGAGGAAUAUUGGUCAAUGGGCGAGAGCCUGAACCAGCCAAGUCGCGUGAAGGAAGAAGGUUCUAUGGAUUGUAAACUUCUUUUGUAAGGGAAUAAAAAGAGUUACGUGUAACUUAUUGUAUGUACUUUACGAAUAAGGAUCGGCUAACUCCGUGCCAGCCGCCGCCGUAACAC
rnacentral:rRNA from 1 species